GUCUCGUUUCAUCAACAAGAAGAGUCUUUCCGCAGACUUAAGCUCCUUCACUAAACUGAUGUGGGCGGAGGAGCUGAAUAGCACUUUACCUUGCAACCGCUCAAUCUGUAAAACAAUAGAUAAUAGUGAUGAAGCAGUUAAAGCCUGAACCCAAAGUUUUGAUCCCCAUUUCUUGACUGUCUCCACUCACGUCGUGAGCUGCCAGCUUCUUCGUCACCUCAUCGAUUACAAAUUGUUCCAUCCCGUAACCGGCUGUGCAGAAGUAGCGAAUUUGACUCGCUUCGUUGCCUAUAUUGACCAUUACGUUCACUGUAAAGUUUCAUCUGAGGAUAAAA